CCUACGGGAGGCAGCAGUGAGGAAUAUUGGUCAAUGGACGAGAGUCUGAACCAGCCAAGUAGCGUGAAGGAUGACUGCCCUACGGGUUGUAAACUUCUUUUAUAUGGGAAUAAAAUGUCCCACGUGAGGGCUUUUGUAUGUACCCUAUGAAUAAGGAUUGGCUAACUCCGUGCCAGCAGCCGCGGUAAUACGGAGGAUCCGAGCGUUAUCCGGAUUUAUUGGGUUUAAAGGGAGCGUAGGUGGAUUGUUAAGUCAGUUGUGAAAGUUUGCGGCUCAACCGUAAAAUUGCAGUUGAAACUGGCAGUCUUGAGUACAGUAGAGGUGGGCGGAAUUCGUGGUGUAGCGGUGAAAUGCUUAGAUAUCACGAAGAACUCCGAUUGCGAAGGCAGCUCACUGGACUGCAACUGACACUGAGGCUCGAAAGUGUGGGUAUCAAACAGGAUUAGAUACCCUGGUAGUC
rnacentral:rRNA from 1 species